GGCGGGUACCGUUAUGGUCUGCGAUUGCCAGGAAGCCCAUGCUAUAUCCGUUUCACUAAUGGAGCAUUAAGACUUCAAUCAAACUGACUUUUUGCUUGGAACAUGCGUGACGACGCCACCCAGUGGCAGAACACGGCCAGGCGCACGCAGGCUUGGUUUCUGUAGUGGUUUGCGUUGUGCAAGCAGCGGUGGCAUCGUCCUAGGUUUCAUAAUUUCCUGCGUUUUUCGCUGCUGCAAGGUCCAGCCAUGCCGCGUUGUGGAUUCUUCCCCUCCUGUCAAAUGAUUUCUCGCCUGUCGAGAUGAGAUUUCUUCAUCAUCAUCACGGCCCUCAAGAAAAAUGCCGAGACCACAGCAGUUGACCGCUGAAGCCGAGACCACAUGCAGUUGUUCCUGUAGCGACCGUGAAAAGGCUCCAUGGGGCACAGGUCCAACUCGGCGCCGCGACCUUUUUCUUGCAGUUCUUCUACCUAGCUACCUAACCAUGUGAGCCAAUCAUGGCAAAGACUCUGCGAUGGCGGAAGGCACUACCCCAUGACGCUCCAAAUUCCAGUCACUGUCUCUCCCAGCGUGCUGCCUCAGCAUCACCCACCGAUACUCAGCGGCACUGAUGACCAAGACUUUGAGAACCUGCUUGGCAACUUACGAAAGGGUGAGCGCAGUCAACAAAUGGGGUGAUUCUAUUAGGCUGACCAACGUAAUAUUGUACUUGACAGUUAUCGCCAAUGUUUGUUUUUGAAAUUACGAAGCGGAGUUUAAUAACAGGGUGUCGUUCAGCAAAACUUUUUUUCGGAAAACUUCAGCUGCACCGCAGUAAGCAAAGUUCGCGCGGAACAGCAGCUACGUGAACCUCCUCAACAACCCGGGGAAAACUUCACCAUUUAUAUGGAAGACGUCAUCGACUUGUGUAAGCGUCUAACCCCGUCGAUGCACGAGUCGGAUAAGAUCAAACAAAUCCUGAAAGGAGUUGCCGAUGACGCAUUUCAAAAGUUAUUAGCCCAAAACCCACAGGUCGUCGCAGAUCUUGUGAGUUUGUGCCAUAGAUUCGAUGAAUUGCGCAAGCAACGCGCCCAAACUCGAUGCCCUCUAAAACAGAACGACUUAAUGGCAGCCUUGAGUCUGGGCGACCGGAAUGCACUGUUGCUUCGGGUCAAGGAGUUCGUGCGUGCGGAGGUUGGCCGACAGCUCUACACUUUAUCAAACACGCCCUAGCCAGCACAGGCACAACAUCUGGCCCGAGUCAUACGACAACUGAUACAGGAAGAGGUCACUGACGCUUUGCCUUUCACUCACCGCCGUAUCUGGGUUCUGCGCCCUUGUCGUACGCACAAGUCAUUGCUACUGGGUCGCCCCGUCAACCAACUUAUUCUUCAGCGUUGGAACCUGUUCGGCCACCACCAGUUCGGUUAGUCGACCACCCCUAUAUAGGUUUUCAAAUCCACGGCGGAAUGCGGACCAUCGUCCUAUAUGUUAUUUCUGCGGUUACGCAGGACAUGUGGCACGCUUCUGUCGCCAUCGUCCUCCUCAAAAUUAUGCUAUGCGCCGGUCUGCGUACAAUUCUCGACGCUUUAUUGACACAGUGCGACCACAACAAUGCUCUUCGGCUGAACGCCUGCCCUCAGCUAUCCGCCGAUCUCCAUUACUCCGGCGUUACUCUCUGUCACCUAUGUGCCGUC